rnacentral:rRNA from 1 species
CACGUAGGGGACGAGCGUUGUCCGGAAUUACUGGGCGUAAAGGGCGCGUAGGCGGUGCAGCAAGUCAGCUGUGAAAUGUCUGGGCUCAACUCGGGCAUGCGGUUGAGACUGUUGUGCUGGAGUGCUGUAGAGGCAAGUGGAAUUCCCAGUGUAGCGGUGAAAUGCGUAGAUAUUGGGAGGAACACCGGUGGCGAAGGCGACUUGCUGGGCAGCAACUGACGCUGAGGCGCGAAGGCCAGGGGAGCAAACGGGAUUAGAUACCCCGGUAGUCCUGGCGGUAAACGAUGAAUGCUAGGUGUGAGUGUAGAGAUACAUUUGUGCCGCAGUUAACGCGAUAAGCAUUCCGCCUGGGGAGUACGGUCGCAAGAUUGAA